ensembl:lncRNA
UCCUCCUCCAGCAGCAGGAUGUGAGCCACCGACAAGGAGGGACGCCAAUAAGGCAUCCGAUAAGAUAAGUCUUAUAAAAUAUAUAGAUUUAUGAUAAUUAAGACUGAGCUAAGAGAUGAGAAUCCUAGUCAUUGGCCACUCAGCUUUAAACCUAAUACAAGUUUCUAUGUAUUCAUUUGGGCCCUAACUCAGGCAUCUGGCUGGCAUAAAGCUCACACGUGGCAGUGGGGCUCUGCGACUUUUGGCGGAAAGAUUUAUCGUAACAGCUACAUGCGUCUAUAACCCCAGCACUGUGGGGCAGAGACCACAGGAUGCUGCUGCUGGUGUUUGCUGAUUGCCAGCCUAGCUCCAGGCUCAGUGGGAGAUCCUGUCUCAUGGGAACAAGAAAAGAGCAGGCCUCCAAGAGAUCACAUUCAAACAGAACAAAACACGAUACAAGACAAGGCAGACGCCCUUAUAUCAACACUGGAAAAGGCAACACAACAGGGGGAAAAGACUCCCAAGAGAAGGCAAAAGAGUCAAGAGACAUACCUGCUAGUACUGUUAGGGAUCCCACCGAAACACCAGCUCUCAGCUGUGGCAUUUAUGCAGAGGACCUGGCGCAGACCCAUGCAGGCCACUUGCUUGCCACUUCAGCCUCUGUGAGCCCAUGUCAACCCUGUUUAGUUGGUUCAGUGGACCCUGUGCUCCUGGUGUCCUCCAUCCUCUUUGACUCCCACAGUUUUUCCUUGAGCUCUUCGAGGAAAAUCCCCUGAUUUCCAAGGGGAGGGACCCCAUGGGGAUUUCAAAUUUAGAAUCUCUCUCUGCACAGUGUCUGGUUCUGGGUCUUUGCAACUGCUCCUGCUGUCAUAGGAAGCCUUUGUGGAGAUGACUGGACAAUGCACUAACUUCUUCACACAAAAGAGACCAGAAUCUAGGGGUGUAGGCUCCCUGCAGGCACUAGCUCGAGCUUUCUAUGUUUAAUGAGCUGUAUGGAUGCUGUCCUUGGAAAGACGGCCCCAAUGUCAAUUUUCAGAGAGUGAAUUUCUGUCCUAGCGUCAGCCUGGGUUGUUUAUGGAUCUCCACAGGCCCUCUUGGCCAACAACUCAGCUGAAAACAGCUUUGCCUGGUUACAAAAGGAGGCAUAGUCAUAGUAUGCAUCUUCCAUGACUAGGAGUCCUUACUGGGUCACCCUCAUAGAUUCCUAGAAGUUGUCACUAUAUAUUAGGUUUCUACUCCCCAGUGCUCCCAAAUUUUAGCUUUCUGUCCUCCUAUUCUCUUCCCCACCAUCCUUUUCACCCCUCCCACCUAAACCCCCUGCUCCAUCACUACUCUUCCCCAAUACUUCAUAGACUAGACUGGCUGGGUGUGAUCUCUUUGAGUUUAAGACCAGCCUGGUCUAUAAAGUCUUUGGGACUUGCAGAGCUACAUAGUGAUACCCUCGAAACAACAACUACAACAAGCUGCUGCGCAUAAGAGACCAAGAAAGCCCAUGAGUAACAGAACUCCUCUAUGACCCCUACUUCUGUUCUUGCCUCCAGGCUCCUGCCCCAUCUUCCCUCAAUGAUGGAUUGUGACCUGGAAGUGUAAAAAAAAUUAAACAUUUUCCUUCUUAUGUUGCUUUUGCUUAUGGUGUUUAUCAAAGCAACACAAAACUAAAUUAGAACAACCCUGGUGUUUUGUGAGUGGGAUGGUGUACUGGAUUGGUUUCAAAAGCAGAACUCAAUGAGGGCUCAGAAUUCAAGAAGUUUAUUGUGGACUGACACAUGCUAGGGUUAUUGGUGCAGUGAUUAGAACUGAGAGAGGCAUGCCUUUAGUAAGAAACUCAGUGCUGUGUCUAUGAAUUGACAUUGGAGAGGAAACAAUGUUCAGAGAAGAGCCUCAGCUUGUCUAUCAUACCUCUUAUACCUCAUUUCACUGCAUAGACAGAGCCGAAAAUCACCCAGCAGAAACCCCAAUACCAGACGCAAGAAACCCUCUUUUGAGUUUUUGGUCAGGACUACCCAUGAGAUUCUCAAAACAUAGAGUCUAUUGCUAUUGUCCUUGGUGACCCCAGGUGCCCCCAGAGGUGAAAAGUAGAUUUCUAUUGCUGAAGACAAUGCAAUCCAGAAAUAGGGACCAGAGACCCUGAGCUGGAAGUGAAUGCUCUGGAUGGCCCCUCCCCUAACCAAGAAUUAGCUUUCAUGUUGACUUACAACUCAAGGUUACAAGGGGAACUCAGGGCAGAAACUCAAGCAGCUGGUCAUGUCACAUCCCCAGCCAUGGACAGAGAGAAAUGAAUGAACACAUGUUUCCUGUUGCUUCCCUCAUAGGAUUCAGGUCCCGGAGUAGGAAAUGGUACAGCUCCCAUUAAGACAAUCACCUCAGACACAACCAUAGGCCAGUCUGAUCUAGGCAAUCCCUCAACUGAGACUCCUUUCGCAGGUGGUUCUAGCUUGUGCUGUGUUGUCAAUUAAACUAGCCUGCUCAGGUGGAAGCUAUGAAGGCAGGUAGAAGCAUGAGCAGCAAUGAGCAUUUGUCCAACUGCUUUUAGUCGUCCUAACCAGUGAGCAGCACUAGAUACCCGGACAGAUGACAGAGCACAUGCUGUACUGAUGUGUCCCGCUCGAUAGCCUCGCCAGCAAGAACCACACAGGACAUUCGGAUCCUUCUGCAGUAAAGCUUUAAUGCGUCUUGAGAGGAGAGCAUAAGCUUACCAGAGCGGAGACCCCGAGCAAGAAUCCCGUCCCCUAAUAAAGGCUGGCAGCCGCCGCCUGGGACGUGUCACCCUAUGAUUGGCUGCAGCUCAUCAGGCCAUAUGACGCCACGGAAUAGGCAGAGAUCAAGGAAUGGAAAAUUACCCAGCGCCUGCGCAAUAAUCUUGUUUACAUUCGGUGCCUGCUGGAUGCAGCGCCAUCUUGUAAUGGAGAAUGCAGGGACGGCUCCCUACACUGAUGGCCCUAUCUUCUAGUUUGACAGCACACUAAUCUGCAGAACCUACUGACCAUAGUUAUGUGAACAAACCAAGGAGAUUAGUGGAGUCAUGAAGCAGGGCAGGCCAUUCCUGGUCAAAUUGUGACCUUGAGAUCUAAGUAAAUGUUUCUUGUUGUAAAUCUCCAAGUUUGGAAUAGCUUCAUGUGUGUGAAAUGCUUGAUAAAACAGCCAAAGCAGGCAAGUAAGUUGUUUUAAGCUUUAUUUUUAUGUCACUCCUCAGCUCAAAACUAAAGCCAGCAUCCCUCAGGUAGUCAAGUCCAUGUGUGUUCUGGGACCGUCUGACCUCACUUCGAGUCACUGUUUCCCUUUGCUCAGGUCUCCCAAAUACAUCAGUGUCGUGCUGUUCAUCAAACCCAGAAGUCACAUUUCACAUUAAUUCAUUUCAUUUAUCAAUAAUGUUUAUCAUACACUUUCCCAUAUGAACUAUACAAUGCCAUGUCUCAGGAUCUCUGCCUGAAUUCUUUUUUUUUUUUUUUUUUCUGAGACAGGGUUUCUCUGUGGCUUUGGAAGUUGUCCUGGAACUAGCUCUUGUAGACCAGGCUGGUCUCAAACUCACAGAGAUCCACUUACCUCUGCCUCCUGAGUGCUGGGAUUAAAGGCGUGUGAAACCCCUGCCCAGUUCUCUGCCUGAAUUCUUUAGCACUGAUUUUUGUACCCAUAUAAUUCAUGACACAGAUUAGAUCCAAAAUGACUAUAUAUGGAGUGAAUGAAUUAUGGGAGGCAAGGGAUUAGGAUUAAGAUAAUACAAUGAUUCAAGGUGUUUUGCUUAUAGGAGAGGCAUAUUGCUGUGAAUUUCAUUUAGAGAAUUAAAAUUUAAGAGAAAAAUGAAUAAAAUCCCAUGGUAGUUUCCCUCUUACUGUGUGUGUGUGUGUGUGUGUGUGUGUGUGUGUGUGUGUGUGUGUGUGUGUUCGUGUGUGAAUUUAUAUUGAAUAAUUAGCAGAAUUAUAGAAUGAGCCUGUGGAUAUUGAAAAUGACAGGAAUUAUGUCCCCUAGUCUACUCAUUAGAAAGAAUGAAAAUAGAAGUAAGUGUGUACAUUGACGCUUUUAAACUGUAAAAUGAGUAGGUGAUUCAAAAGGUCAAACCGACUGAUUAUCUUCUAAAUAUUCCAUUCUCUUUAAAAUAUGCCAUAUUUAUAUGAUAUUGUCCUUUACACUGUGUGACCUCUACGUUCAUCAAAGGCAGCCACAAUAUCCUAUGAUUUGAUGUUCCCUGAGCCAGGGUGAAAUGUUCUCUCUACAAAACAGUUUGAAAGUAAAAUUAUGCUUUGCCACUCCUCUUAAUUCUCAGUAAACACACUUUUCAUCUUUUUGAUACCUUGAGUAUAUUAUCUUUUAUGGAAUUUGUAAAGGUCAGAGAAGACAAUUUCCUUUCUAAAUAGAUGGCAUGUGAACCUCUCAUAUUUGAUCUGUCUGAAGAUGAACCUUUUAAUGCUUUUUGCCCUACCUCUGUCUUCACUGGUAAUGAAAAGGGAACGCUAUAAACUGUACAGCCUGCCUGUGCUCAGAUGCUUGGCAUAUUUUGUUUGUCUUGCAUCAUAACAUUCAUGAUCUGAAUCACUUUAAAAUGAUCUCAAUGAACUGUUAGCAUGUUGGUUUCUGUGAAGAAUGUCAUGCUACAAAAAUCUUAGACUGAAACUCUCCAUGAAGACAAAGGUUUAUGGCAGCAGCUUUUACGUGUGCUUCCUUCCACUCAUUCAUCUACGUAAUGGAAAAUUCUAGUAUACUCAAUACCCACUAGGCUCCUAGUUGAGCCCCUUUGCUGGGCAAUAUUAAUGGAAGACGUAGAUAUUCUUCUUGAAAUGAAAGUUUAGAAAUGAAAUCAGGCACUGUGUGCAAAAAAGUGUUUUUAUCUUGUUGUUAAAGAUAUAACAUACCUACACAAAUGUAUAAAAGUUACAUAGGAGAAUCGAAAUCAUCUGACAAAUUUGCAAUAUUUUCGAUAUAAAAAAUUCAAACAGGAGACUUAAUCCAGAAAGAGAAAGGAAGGGUCACUUCAUAACAAGUGCAUUAGGACUGAUGUGUUAAUAUUUCACUUCAUGGACUGUAUUAAUUUUCCUGGUAUGUGGCAGAGAAUGAUAAACAAAUUAUUGGGAUCUAUUUCAAACAGAAGAACAAAGAAAAACUCAUUAGCUUCUUUUGGCCUUAAGCGAUCAAUGCUUCUCCCUGUGAUUAAUGAUCCUUUCUGUUUGUCCUCAGCCUCGGAAACAGGUGCAACUUCAUAGAGGAAACUUUUUACCUUUUCUAUUUGGGGUCUUGAAAAAACACUUGUUGUUUAAAGGUUAAUUUGUUAAACCAAGAUGUUUCUUUUUCAGCAUAUUUAAUGAAAAAAAUUGUUUUCAAUUAGAAAAGUUUAAAUUAGAAUGAUUAAAAUGUGCAUGUAUUUUGGUAAUCCUAAACCAAAUAUUAUUAUGUAGGCGUGGUGGCAUAUACCUUUAAUCUCAGCACUCAGGGGGCAGGGGCAAGUAGCUCUCUGUGAAUUCAAGGUGUGCCUAGCAAGUUGUAGUCUGUUUUGGUGAGAUUUUUGUCUCCCAAAAUAUUUGUAUUGUGUUCCAAAAUCAUAAAAAAUGUAUUUUCUAUAUAAUGCCCAUUAUAAAUUUUCUAUGUAUUUUAUUAUAAAUGUACAUAUACUAAUUUAAGUAGUCAUGCAUCAGAAUAGUUGUAUAAUUAUGUAAACACACAAAAAUUAUAUGAACACAAGUUUAUGUAAACUCAUAUAUAUAUGAAAUAAAUAUGUAUAUAUAACAUAUAAGCAUAUUGAGUAAUCUCAAAAUUAUACAUAUAAACUAUAAAUGCAUACAAGCACAUUAAACAAUGACCAGUAACAGAAUCAGAUUCCAGAUCACAGAGUGCCAUAUUAAGAACAUGGAACUUAAAUCUGACAAUCCCGCGCUCCAUUCUCUCUCUCAUUCUACCUCUGUAACCUUAGGGAAAUGACUCAAUCUCUUUGAGUCUCAUGCUCACUUAGGCUAAUGGAAUUGACUAUGAGAGUUACUCAAUGUUAUGUUGCAGGUAGCAAGCCUGGGUCAGAACUGCUAAUCAGUAACAAUGACAUAUCAUGGCUUGGCUCUCUGUUGUCACUGAUCCUGAGUUCUGUGUUCUUUCUGAUGUAUUCAGUACUCAGAGCUUUAGUUGAUGUAACUUGCAGUUCUUUCUAAUACAACUGUAUCUAAUACACUGUGCUCCCUUCUGCUGAUUCCUAAGCAGAAACAGGACCUGGGCAUGAAAGCAGGAAAAAUGAGAUAGCUAAGCCAGAGAGAAAUCAAAAGGCGAAUGCCAAGUUUGCAUGCCCGAACACUUCAUAGACCCGAGGUACUGAGGUCUGAAAAUUCUAACCUUCUUGGAGAUGUGUUUUCUUGUGAAGUAUCAACGAAUGAAAAUGUGUAAGGUUUCAUAGACUGUGUGAUGGACACAGUGAAUAAUUAAGAGCUAUGUAUCAUUUUGUAUUAUUUUAUAAAGCACUUUCACAUUUAAAGGCUGCAUGUCUUUGGUCUCUCCAACUUAUGCUGAGAGAUUUCAUAACAUUUAAAAAUUAGUUUUUCUAUUGAGAUAGAUCCUAUACAGAAUCAUCCCUGAAUAGUUUUUUUUAAAUAAAUAACUUUUAAAGGAACUGAAUAAUUAUCUUGCCAGAGCACUAUUAGUUUAAAAGUGAUAUUUUCUUUAGGUCUAUUUAUAUGAUUUAUUAUAUGUAUGUGCACAUAUAAUAUGCAUUUUAAGUAAACUUAUACAAUAGUAAGUUUUCUUACGGCCUUUAAAAGAAUCCUUGUUGUUGUUUAUCCCUGCCCUCUCCUCCCUCUGUAUCAUCCUCCCCUGUCCCUAGCUAGACUCCCCUCCCCAUCUUUCUCAUUUCUCCCUCCAUAGCACCUAUGCUCUAUUGUCCCCUUCUCUUGGGGUCAGUUCCUCCUCCUCAAGGGGUGUCAUUUUACUUUCUUGGAUCCCAUGAUUAUUCUAAGUCACAUGCUCAAACCUGAGGAUUCAGAGCUAGGCUGGUCAUCUAGUGAGUCUCAGAGAUCCACACCUCCCCAAUGCUGGGGUAUAAGCAUGCAAGCCACACCCAUUUUAUAUUUUAGCAUUGGGUGUUCUACAGAUUGAACCCUGGUCCUUGUGUUUGCAAGACUUAUGUUGAUUGGGUUAGUUUCCUCAUUGCUCUCUCUCUAUUUCUCUCUCUCUCUCUCUCUCUCUCUCUCUCUCUCUCUUUGGUUUUUUUGCCUCAGGGUUUCUCUGUGUAGCUUUGGAGCCUAUCCUGGCACUCACUCUGGAGACCAGGCUGGCCGAGAACUCACAGAGAUCCACCUGCCUCAGCCUCCUGAGUGCUGGGAUUAAAGGCAUGUGCCACCAACACCCGGAUUUUCUCUCUCUCUCUCUCUCUCUCUCUCUCUCUCUCUCUCUCUCUCUCUCGUGAAUUUUCCAACGUCAUGCCCUCUUGCUCUUAUAUUCUUCCUCGUAAUGAGAAAUGCAGAGCCAGCUCACCGUAGAUGUCUUUGUCCCUCUCUUUAAGUCUAAAUAAAUAAAAGAUACUGCUCAAAUAAAGUUUCUUGAAUUAUCCUUAUAUUAAUAACAUAAUUUAAGUAUUAUAAUCCCUUAUUGUAUACUCUUUCCAAAUUUCUUUCUGUAUGUUUUAUGUGGCCCUUGGUACAUUUCUCAAUGUGCUUCUUUAUUAAUUAUUUUUCAUAUGGAUGCUGCACAUUAAUGAAAAUGUCAAGACUGCCAGAAAGGUUUAGAAAUUACUGUUCAGAUUUCUAGGUUUCACUUGAUUCCAUUUGAGACAAACAAAAGAAAUAAACAAAGGCUUGAGUCCUGCCUUUCUCUCUGUGUUUAACCACAGCAGUUAGCUUCUUGGGAACUAACUUUUCAUGAAGUUGGAGGAUUAGAUGAGGCAAACUUCAGCUUCCUUCUUCCAGGAUUCUAACCUCAAAAUUGCAAUGUCGGUCUAGGUGGUAGAGAAAAAAAUUCCUCAAGAAGUUUUCAGGUGUGUAAUUUGUGCCAUCCCUUCCUAUUUCAUAUAUACUUCUGUGAAGUAAUUAUUUUAUUUGCAAUUCUUGAUAACUCAUUAGAGAAAAUGUAUCUGGGGGAUUAAAAAACAUUAGCAUUUUUUUGAGUUCCCUUGAACCUAUAAACCAGUCCAUGAGUUCCUUUUGGUCCACAUUCUUUUCCCUUUUAAAAGCUCUCCACUUAGGCAUGGAGAGACAGCUCUGUGGAUGAAUUACUGGUCAUGUAAGUGUGAAUGCUGGAGAUCAGAUCCACGGAGUCCACAAAAAAACAAAACAAAACAAAACAAAACAAAACAAAACAAAAAAAAAAAAACAAGAGAAAACAAAAGCCCAGCCUGUGUUGGUGUGGCAAUUUGCCUGUGAAACCAUUACUCUGGAGGCAGAGACAAGGAUUUGAUGAGGGAUGUCCUUCUAUAUGCUGUGAAUAUAUGUGCCUCUUAUUCAUUGAUGAAUAAAUGCUGAUUGGCCAGUAGCCAGCCAGGAAGUAUAGGCAGGGCUCCCAGACUAGGCUAAUUCUGGGAGAAAGAUGCAGAGAGGAGAUGCCAUGUAGCUACUGAGGGGGUAGGAUGCCACCAGAGCAUUCUCUAGAUAAGGCCAUGUGGCAACACAUAGAUUAAUAAUUAUGGGUCAAUAAUUAAGAGAGAGCUAGCCAGUAAGAAGCCUAAGCCAUCAGCUGAAUGUUUUAUAAUUGAUAUAAGCCUCUGUGUAUUUAUUUGGGAAAAAAGGGCUGCGGGACCUUGCGGGACAGAAGCUCCAUGUUCAAGGAUUUUCAGGGGAAGAAGACUAUGUAGAUAGAUUAGAUGAAUUAAUGAGCUCUAGGAUCAGCAAGAGAUCCUGUUUUAAUAAGUAAAGUGGUAAGCAGUCAAGGAAGACACCCAACAUUAUCCUUGGGCCAUUACACAAUGCAUAUAGAUGCACACACAUGCAAACACACAUUCAAGCAUGCAUGUACAUCCCACAUUUACGUUGUAGAAUUCUUUUGUUGUAGAAUUCUUAAUUUUUCCUUGACAUCUUGAGAAAUCUGAAUCUUUGUUUACUCUGUUUUGGUAAAUUAAACAUUUACUGAGGUGUUUUGUAGGGGACAGUGUAAACCACACCUGCUAGAAGCUGGCUACAGGUGUGCCUGACCACGCCUGUUAGGGGGUGGUCAGGGUGAGGUCCACAUGACUUGUGAUAGGGUUUUAAGGGGCUUCAAGGCACAUGGGCACCAGAUUAUAUGAGAUGAUUCAUAGCCUGUAGGGUUAAGAUAUCUUUAUUUAGAUAAACACCAGUCAAACACAAGCCAGAGCAUGCCAGGGGCAGCAAGGCAGGCAGACCAGAGAGAAGGGCUCCCAUGUGCCCUGCGGCUCCUUAAAACCCUAUCAUACGUCAUCCUGACCUCACCUUGACCACGCCCUGACAGGCGUGGUCAGGUACACCUGUAGCCAGCUUCUAGCAGGUGUGGCUUACACUGUCCCCUACAGUGUUUUGCUAUAGUUGAUUGAAAACAUCAAAUAUAUUUAUUUAAUAUAAAACCACAAAAUUAAUUUCUUUCCCAUUAUCUCUUAGUCUACCUAUAUCCCCUCCAUUCAUUUCUCCUUUUGAUAUUUGUAAGUUGCCAAAACUUGGCUAUUGCUUUCCAGUUCCUCUUGAUUCUGAACCUGCCUUUCUGUUUUCCUCUGCAUUAAGUGGGCAACACUAUAUAUUCUGUUAUGUCCUAUGUGGAUUGUGUGGGGGACCAAAAUAUUUCCGCUAUGGAAUAUUUUGAGAUCCAGCCUGGGGUUUCACUAAACAUGGAGUACUGGAAAACUCUGGCCCACUAUUGUAUUGUUAAUGCCAGUAAGGCUACUGUUGUUUACCAUAGCCUCAGGCAGGUAAUGACUCUAGAAAUGACUCUAGUUCUACAACAUGGAACUGAGAGCUCUCUGAAGAAGACAAGAUGCCUGUGUUUGGUCUUUAUCGCCGCUGGGUUGCUAGGUGCUUCCAGGUCCACACACCCCUACUCAGACUGAACUUCAUGGAUUAAGGCUGAGACAUGCUGGGUCACAACAAAAUGGUACCCGAACUCGGGGCCUGAGAAUGGGGGAAGAAGCCAUGGACACCACGAAAAAAACGGACAAGGCAGAGGCUUGGACAAUUCGAAGAGAUAGUCAUCUCGGGCGAACCAGUUGGAGAAGAAGCACGCGCAGAAAAAGGAAGAAAGAAGUGGCCGAAUGUGGAGGAGAACGAGGCGUGCUGGCUACCAGAAAGAUUGGUGAGAUACGUGGAACCGAGAAAAAUGGGACCUGGGCCCACAGGAGACCAUCUGAAACAGCUGGAGUGAAACACUGGACCUCUAUUUCCUGAACUUUGAGUACAUCCGACUAAUAGUGGGAGGAAGAAGGGAGACACACCCAGUUCCAGCUUCCCUACCGACGGACUACAUUCACCUCUCUGAAUCCGUGAGUGCUCAUCCAGGAGCAGACUAAGAACUUGAUAAAAAAAAACAGCUUGCUUUCUUGCCACAAACAGACACACAAAACUGUUUUGCCAGUUUUCCUGUUGGGAAAAAGGACUCAUUUAGGACAGUCGGAUACUGGCAUAAACCAGAGUGACAGAAGCUCCUUCACAAUGCUUAAACAAGACAUGGACAAAAGACUUUUUAGUUAACUUUCAAAGACUGAUAUUACAAACCUGAUGUUAGAACUUCGGACUUUGAGCAAGAAAUAGAAAAGUUUGAAGGGGCAUUGAGUCCCAGGCAGGGAAUAAAGAAAAAAGGUUUAGAAUUGUGAAAUUGUUCACACCCCACAGAUUGUGAGAAUAUCUUAUUGUCUUUUGAUUGUAUUGUAACUCACCCUAAUGUAUGUUCAUGAGAUUGUUAAUGUCUGUAACCUUGCUAUAUGUGUUAAGCAAAUGUUAUUAGAAACUAGAAGUUAGAGUUCAAUGUAACAAAAAUGUAACGUGUAAUUUACAAGCCUUAGGAUAGAAGUAUGUUUUAAGGAGCAAACUUUAAUAAGGUCCAUAUCAGAGGCCCUAGAGGCAUUGUCACGAAGAUUUUAAAAGGCCAUUUUAACCUUCAUAUGUCUCCAUCCCGCAGGAGAAUGUAUGCAGCCGUGAGGAUUUUGGAGCUGGACCAUCGCCUAUUCCCCACUAACCUUAUUUGUUUUACAGAGACUGUUUCCAGCCAGAGAAAGGAAUGAGAAGACAGAAAUACUGGAAAGAAAUGAGAAUGGUGGUGGACACCCUCAAUUGUAGAAAGUUGGAAAGACAUAGUCAUGGAUGCAAGAUGGAACCUGCAAGGAGGGCUUGAUUCAAACAGGAUUUCAGACUACCUGAAGACAGUACAAGGGUAGUGAGCCACAGUCAGAAUGUGUUAUCCAUUGCAUAUAGAGGUUUCCUUCUCUUUUCUUUUAAUCUUUGACACAAGAAAAAUGUUAGACUGUUGGUAUUUAAUUGUCCAACUCUCUUAUUUGUGUCCACACUAGGGAAGCAUGGCAGCCACAUGAUUAUUUUGUUUAGGGACAGGUUAAGUAGGGUUGAUGUAUAGAGAUAUUCUUUCUUUUGGUUAAUAUAACUCCACAACACUGAAUUACUGCACUGUUAAGUUUGAAUAGUGAGGCUGUUGAAGAAACAAAUUCUAAAAGGUCAUUUUUAUGCACAGACACACUUUUCUUAGGAAACUCCUCCAGGAUCUAGUUUAUUGAAUUUUUAUCCUGUUGCAUUAACUAAAUCAUGUAAUUUCACAUUUAGACAAAAUGAAAGGCACGUUAGUCAAUAGCCAUUAGACUCUAACACAAAUAACCAUUAACAACCUUAUUUUAUUUUAUUUUGGUUUUUUGAGCAGGGUUUCCUUGUGGCUUUGGAGGCUGUCCUGGAACUAGCUCUUGUAGACCAGGCUGGUUGAGAAUUCACAGAGAUCCACUUACCUCUGCCUCCUGAGUGCUGGUAUUAAAGGUGUGCGCCACCACCACCUGGCUGCACAACCUCAUUUUAUUGAGCACAAAAACAUACAGUAGUGGCCUCUCUCACAUGUAUCCUUAAAUACUUAAUAUUCCCCAAACAUCACUGUCCUAUUCACUUUCCAUUUAGGAUAGUGGGUUUCUUUUUAGAUAAGAACUAGAAUUUUUUUGAUGAAUUUUAUUUUUUUUCCAAAAUAGUUAUAUCAAUAAUUAUUUUAGUUAGUGUUUGGAUGGAUAUAUGAGCUCAAAAUUAAUACUAGUACAAAUAUGGGUUUAUUACCAAUUUAUCUGUGUGGUAUUGAAAGAUAAUGACAAAAUUUAAUUGCAAACAGACUUGAAUUAAUUUUUUUCAGCCUGGCCAAUGGUCCUAUAUUCCAUAUGGGUAUAUCACGCAAGGCUGUUUUUGCUGUGUUUCUCAAAAUGGUCCUGUUAAAUGAGCCCCUAAUUUUUUUGGAAGCUAAUAUUAAUUGUCCUGGAAAAUGUGGAUUAAAUGCUUAAAUAAAAGUUCAUUUGCUAAACUUAAGAUGAAAAAGUUGCAAAACUUUGCUCUUGGUUAACAUGCACUUGUUCAAAGCAAUUGAGAUUUGAAUUAUUUUGUACCAGAUUAUGAAAUGAAAUACUUUUUAAAUACAUGGAACAAAGAUUUGUGUCCUGCAUAUGCUUUGAAUCUGACGAAAUAGAUGCUUAGUCAACCAGCCUUCCUAACCAAAUGAGUCAUUUGUUUGCUUCAUUUCUUCUUAAGACCUGUGAGAGGUUUUCCAAGCUGUCCCUCUUGUAGCAGAUGGAAUACUCACAGGAGUCCAUCCCUAUAGCAACAACAGCUGCACUGGCAACCAGUGCUCUAUGGGUUUCUGAAUAGCUUGUAAGGACAUUGCAAUCUGAAAACCUCUCUUUCUACCACUGGGAUCCCUGUUGAUGCCAUUUGGAUAAUGUCUGGUUUGACCUGAAUCUCAGAGGAGAUUGCUAUCUUGCACAUGACUUAAGAGACUAUACGAUAAGAAUUAUAUGUGGGGAAUAGGUAUACUUUUUAUAGAUUUCCUCCUUUAAGUCAUAAGAUCUAAGUAUUUGACAUAUGUCACACAAAGUUAUCUGCCUUAAAUAAGCAUCACCUGAAACCUACAGUUGAGGAAGAUAAAAGUUAUGGGACUUAUUAGAUUAGACCUUCUAUAAAAUCAAGGGCCAUGGUAGAAAGUUUUCCAUGAAGUUAGUUUAUUAGUGUGUACAGAGUAGGUGUUAAAACAAUCCUUCAACAUACCUUCUCAUUUCGAAUGUACCUGGUAUUAGGAUUCACAAUGCUUUAUAGGUAUCCUUUGGUAAAGUCAUCAGUAGUGUCCCUGAUUUCAAAAACAGGAAUGCAGUCAUAGCAUUGGCCAUGCAUUGCAUAAACAUGGGUGAUGAUUCCAAGUGCUACCUUACAACUCAUUUAUUUAGGGUUAGUUUACUGGUAGUGCCAAAAUGAAGUUUAAAAUUUGGAGGGUAUACUGGUAAGAAUAACUUCAGCAUAUCAAAAUAUUUAACAAGUAUUAGCAUAGUGAUGAUUUGAGUGUGUGGAUCAAUCCUAACUUGGUAUCAAGAUAUGGUUUCAUUAUUGCUGAUAGCAUCAUUACCCAGAUCUUACCACUCUUUCCUCGUACUCUCAGACUUUCCUGAGCUAGUCUGGUCAAAAUGGUGCUCACAGAAAAUCAAUAGAGGAGGAGGGUAUGGUUUUAAGAUAGAAUAUUCAUGGCCACUCUCAUCUCAUGGGGACAAGAUGCAUGGGAGAAAAUAGGUCAGGUGGAAGCUUAGAGAAACCUAUGGCUUCUGUCACUGGAAAGCUCUGGCUCACCUAGACUAGUAAAUUAUAUAUUUAGAGAUUUUCAAGAGUAAACUCUGUCUGAAAGCUAAUUUGUAUGUCUCAGUUUAAGCUUACAACCAGUCUUCUGCAGUGAAAAGGGGCCUAUCAAUCAGAGUCUGCAUGGAAUUCUAAACACACACACUUGCCUUGUACUCUGUAGCCUGCAUGUCCAGGCUGUCAGAGGGAUCAUCAUUUUCACUACACUUUGUGUCAGAUAAACACAGCUUUCAUGUCACACACUCAGUACAGCGUGAUUGCAUGCGGCUGCAUUGAGAAUCCCUCAUUUAUAAAGUGGAACUACAGCAUAACAUGAUAGCCAAAAUGCUAUAAAUGAGCAUUGGGGCUACCUUGGCCUCCCUCCUAGGAGGUUGGGAGUUCUUGGAAAUGUUCACAAAGGUACUCAUUAUAACUGGGUCUUGUUUGGAGCACAGCUCAUGAAUGUGGAGCUUGUGGAUAACAUUACAGGGAAGCUCUGUUUUGCAGGGAUGCAAUCCCUUGCCAGAGAACCGUGUCUGCUCCACAUACGUGCAUUCCUUAUGCUGCCAGCUGUUCUGUUAUUAUCUUUUGCAGUCGGAAGGCUGGUUCUACUCUCGGGUGGCUUCCUCUGGGGUGAAAGAAAAGUAGGGACACCUGCAGCAGAUCUCAGGUCUUUCCUUUUAGCUGAGGCUGCUUCCAUUUGCUAUUUUUCUCCUCAUUCCCAGGCUUUCAAUUUGGUUAUGGUCUAUAGGUACUUAUUUUUUCUUUCAUUUUGACAUUGUUUUUGAGAAUUGAGUGCAUGAAUAAUAUAUUUACAUUAUUUUGACCUUACUCUCUCUACUAACUCCACCUCCUCUCCUUCUCAAAAUCAUGGUGACCUACUUUAAUUAUUAUAGUUACACUCUCAUAGUUACAUACAUACAAAGAGAGAAAUGGAGACAGGCAGAGAGACACUAUACACAUAUAUGUAUACAUGUGUAUAUAUUCAUACAACCUGCUGAAUGUACUUAGUGUUGCUCAUAUGUAUAUUUAGAGCUGACGCCAAGGAUUCGAUAACCUACCCAGGGGAACUACUUUUCUUGUCUCUCCAACCUCUUGUUCUUACCUUCUCAUUUCCCCCUAAGUUUGGAGAGUGUGCGGUUUGCUGAGAAUUCCUGUUUGCUUCUGUGUGUCUGUGGCCUCCUGUCUUCUUCUAAUUUACAUGACCUCUUAUCCUGCGGUGACUUGGAACAGAGAUCGACUCAUGCACUUUUCCAUUGAGCUGUACCCUCGCUGUCCUGUUAGCAAGACACUCAAUUCUGUUCCCACACAUUACAGAAUAUUUAGGCUUUGAGUAAUGGAAACAGUGAAUACCAACUCUGGUAGCACUUUGAAUUCCUGAGCGUUGGAGUUCAAUUACAAGUGUGUUUACUGUAUUAUUAGAGCUUGUUUCCCUCAAUGAGGGCUUCACGAGCUGGUGACUAAAUCCCUUAUUUGGAGUCUCUCUCACUAUCAUCAACACAUUAGUCACUUAAAACUUUUCAGUGAAUCAGAAGAGAAUAACUGGUAGCUGAGGAUUUAUAAUUAUGUCCUUUCAAAGGUCCACGAGAACAAAUGGAUAGGAAACUAUCUCCUUUUGCCUGACUGUAUUUGUAAAUUAUAAUGUAAUGACUCAGUUUCUCAGUUUGGGAGAAAACAUAUAUUUUUAAGGAUUAGACUUUGUAUAAACACAAGAUUUAUGUCUGAUUGUUCAUAUGUAUUUAGUUUCAUAUGCAGGAUUUGAUAUGAUUAAAUUAGCAACAUAUUACUAACAUUUCAUUUGUUCAUAACUUAGAAAUGAUUUUGUGUUGGAAAAUCUCUGUCAGGUUUGGAGAAUGAACACAAAAGAUUAUUUAGAGUGAACAUAAGGAAAGGAGAAACAAUCUCCUAUAUAUAAAAGGGAUUCUUUGGUUGGAAUCCAUACCAUAUUGAAUACCAUUUCUUCUCCUUAUGCUCACAGAUGUGAUACUGAGAGAAGCUCUGUGGGCAAGGAGCACAAAUCCAUCAACACAAUAACUAUAUUGCAGGAAAAAGAAACUGUAGUCCCCUUCAUAGUGGAAGAAAGAGAUAUGACACUGUCCUCUAACUCUCUCUCUCUCUCUACACACACACACACACACACACACACACACAGAGAGAGAGAGAGAGAGAGAGAGAGAGAGAGAGAGAGAGAGUUCCUCAGAGAGUGACUUUUGUUACUAAUGUUGGGAGGUAUAACUGAGUUGGGGCUGUAGAUUUAGCCUUGGUGUAUGGAGAACUGUGGAGUAAUUGCUGUAGGAGUGGUUGCCAUGGAAGCCUGAGCCUUUUGCUUAUGCAAUUUAAUUAUACCCCAGAACCUCUUUGAGCCUGAUAUUUUAUAUAAUUCCACCAUUUCAUGAUGUAAUGCUGUUGCUCAGGUCCAAAUUUAUAGCAUGAUGUGUCAAAGGAUUCCAGUUUACGAUGAGUGUCUAAUGACCCCUGCUAACUUGAUGUACUUUGGUUAAGAUUCAUUUCUAUGAAGAUAAGAUAACACACUCACCAUUGUUCUUAAAUGAUGUGACUCAUCUGUAGCAGGAGACAUUACUUUGGUUUACAUUCCUGAUGGGUUUCUACCAGGGUCUCUGUGGUGGUUAAUAUGGAUUGUCAACUAGAAAAGAUUCAGAAUCACCAAAGAGGCAGACCCCUGGGCAUGACUGUGAGGGAUUAUCUGUAUUGAGUUGGAUUAGGAAAACUCUUUAAAAGUGUAGGUGGCACCUACAGUGACUGAGAUUCCAGAUUGAAUAAAAAAGAGAAAGUGAACUGAGUACCAGUGUUUAUCACCUUUGAUUCCUCGGUGUGGACAAAAUAUGACUAGGUUCCUUAAGCUUUUACUAACAUGACUUCACCACCACGAUGGACUGUACCCAUGAAUUGUGAGACAAAAUGUUUGUUUCUCGUCAGGUGUUUUGUCAUGGUAGCAAGAAAAUAACUUGUAUAGCCUCAUUGCAGCUUUGUGUAUUUCUAUGUUCUAGUCAUUUUAUGCUCUACCAUGCAUUGGAUUUUUUUUGCAACAUAUGAAUCAAAUAUCAAGACACCUUUACAGAGCCUGAGUUUGAUGAUAGAUUUUCCUAGCUAGGUGUAGUAUUUACAACUGUUAGUCUUACAAGUUUCUAGUGAGUACAUUCAAUCAGGAUAGUAACAAAGUGGGCUCUAUAUCACCUAUACUCAAGCAGGUUCUAUAUUUCUUCCUUUUGAACUGUGGCAGCAUUUGAGUUUCAACUUUUUCAACAUAUAGGAAGAAGAAAUUCAGGAAUGUGUUUGGCGGAGAAGGCUUGCCCCCUUAUUGGGUACUAUAACACAACCAUAUAUUGACCAGUUAUUAUCGGUCAAUAUGCAUUAUAUAUUGUUCAUACUUUGAUGAGUAAAUUCCUCCUGCUUCCCCAGACAACAAUUUUAUCCUCCUAUAUGUUAUGAAGAAGUUAUGAAGAGCUAAGGCUCUCCAUUAUAGUCUCUGGUGGCAGUUUUUUGCCACCCUGAGUAAUGCUGGCUUCUUCUGGGAGUAGUCCAACAUUGUGUUGGAUGUCAAUGGAUGCACUGUCUUCUGACUGCAGAAUGGCAUUUAUCAUUAAGGAAAACUUAGGUAACAGUUCAUGUAGUUUUAAACCACCUUUCUCUUGGGAAUUUUUCUGUGAUUUUAGUAUUUUAUUUUCCUUGGAAUAGAUUGAAAAGUUUAGACUUAGACACUGAAGAUACACUGCUGGUCAACUGAAGAGUGAAAACGGCUCUAGUGUUUUCUGGAGGAUGGGAGCACGGUGAUGAGUGCUGGAGAGUCUAUAGAAAACUCUUCUCAGACACUUUGAUUCUUGAAUCCCAUACCCAUUUCAAUUGCUUUAGACACCUCUUUUCCCCUUCCAUCACUUGCUUUUUAUUUUUUACAGCGGUCAUUAAUCGGUUCCCUUUAGCUAGAACACAUUUCUCUAUCUUCCCCUAAGAGUACAGCAAACAAAUUAAGUUCAAUAAAGAACUCAUAUUACAAAAAAUUACUUCCUUGUGCUAGGAAGUGUAAUAAGGUCCUAGAAAUUGUUCAAUGCUGACUGUAGUUCAGUUUAUAAACACCCUUCAAGCAUUGAGCACUCUGCACUUGGAGCAAGAGCACAUCUAAAACGGAAGGCACUUAGCAAGGAAUUAUCCAUUACCCUUUCUCCCCCCCCAACUAGCUUAAAACACACACACACACACACACACACACACACACACACACAGAAAACCCACUGAAAUGGGAUUCCCUGAGAGGAACUGGGUUUUGCUGGAGGAUGAUGAGAUCAUGCUAAACCUAGUGAGACUGUUUUCAAAUUUCAAAUUGAAACAUUUAUUUAAUUAUCUUUGUACUGUGACAGGAAAGAAAUUGUAUUAUUGCAUCUGCCACUAAGGGAAGAGUAGUUGAUUAGCUAGUUCUAACUUGUAGAAUUCUCUUGAACCAUUCUCUCAAAGCACAUUUCUUCUUAUGUUCAGUGAUAGGGGAAUAGGACCAGCAUUUUCUAUUUCUUCUAAUGAGCCUUCUAAUGGUGUAAUGCCUGAUGCAUUUAAUUUUUAUUUUAGAAAACAUACAUGUCAUUGAGACUAAAUCUAUUUAUUGUUCACUGUAAAUUUCCCCCAAGAUGUGUUUUUGUUUAAAAAUCAUUAAUAAUUCAUACUUUACAGUUAAAAGUGUAUUUAUUCCUUCAAUAAAAAUAUAAUAAAUGGCCAGGCAGUGGUGGUACACAUCUUUAAUCCCAGCACUCAGGAGGCAGAGGCAGGCAGAAUUCUGUGAGUUCAGGACCAGCCUGGUCUACAGGAGCUAGUUCCAGGACAGCCUCCAAAGCCACAGAGAAACCCUGUCUUGAAAAAAUAUAUAUAAUGAAUACAUAUUAAAUGAAAACAUGGAGUUUUAUGUAUAAUAUAAUGUCAGCAAUUAAAAACAUUUAAAAAUGUACAAAAUGAAUGAAUGAGUGAUUAAAAAGUUUCAUGUAAAGAGACAAAUGAAAAAUAGAUAAUGGCUAUUAUGAAUAAAGCUACCAUGAACAUAGGUGAGCAAGUGUCUUUGUGGUGGUAUUGAUUGUCUUUUGGGUAUACCACUCUUUUGCUCAAGAGUGUUAUAGUUGGGCAUUGAGGUAGAUCAAUUCCCAAUUUUCUGAGGAAUCACCAUAUUGACUUCCAUAGUGGCUGAACAAGUUUACAUUCCUAACAGGAAGAGUGUUCCCUUGCUCCACAUCCUUG